AGCAAAAAGACCUAAAAUUAGGGUUUUUCGGCGAAAUUACACAUAUGGCGUUGCACAUGGCGGCCGCUAUAGGAGAAGCCAUGAGUCAUCAGCCCUCAACUAGGAGGUAACCGACACAUUCCCAUGAUCCACCCCAUUUACACACAUGGCGGGCGCCAUGAAGGGAUGGCAGGCGCCAUCUUUGGAAGUCACGUUCCCACUAAGGGGAAG
rnacentral:lncRNA from 1 species